UAGAAAUGAAAGACUAACGAUAAUAUUAAAUAAUAAAUCACUUUAUCGUAACGUUACUAGUAUUUACACCAUCGAGGUAUACUAUAUUUACUGGAGUGCGUGCUUUGGACUAAAAAACGAGCCGGUCGACUCGACGACUUCCCCCACCCUAUAACGGCAAGAAGCUUCAGUUCCGUAUGUAACAUAUAGGUGUUAACGUGUUGUUUAAGUGAAUAAAGAUUGCAUUAAAUACAUUUUUUUAUAAACUUUUUAAUAUUGUGUUUAAAUUAGUGUAUUAUAUAAAUCUAUAAAGAUGGUAAAUUCUUGUUCUGCAUACGGAUGUACAAAUAGACAGUCAACAGGAAGUGGUUUACAAUUUCAUCGGUAAGUUACAAUUUUUAGAUUCAGGUUUGUGGUAAUAUUAUAAUAUAUGUAUAAAUGUUCCAGAUUUCCAUUAAAUAAGCCUGGAGUUUAAAAAAAAUGGAUAAAGGAAGUACGCAGGAAAAAUUUUAAGCCAACAAAGUAUAGUUUUCUAUGUAGUGAUCAUUUUCUUGCUACGGAUUAUCAAAUACGACCAGGUGCCAGCAAGGGAUGGCUAAAAGAAGAUGCAUUUCCUUCAGUGUUUAAAGGAUUUCCAAAUCACCUCCAAAAACCUCCUCCAUCCAAAAGACGUUUAUUGUCUAGAGUAAUUGAGAAAGAGAAAAAGGCUGAUGAUAUUGAGAACAUGCCAAGUACAAGUACUACACCCGACUUAUCUGAGAUAUCUGAACAGAAUGCAAUGCAAUGUGAUGUGGGUAUUCAGUGUAUUAUUCAGUCACCAACUAAGAUAAAAUUGAGACGAAAAAUUAAGAUCUUGCAGCAACAAGUAAAACGUCGGGAUGUACGAAUCAAAAGUUUGA
rnacentral:lncRNA from 1 species